rnacentral:lncRNA from 1 species
UCCAAAUACACCAGGCAAGAUUUACCUUCAUUAUGCAGAACCUCCCAAUGGACCAUUUGUUGAACCUCCUGAUCUGUUUUUUCUGAAAACGACUAAAUCUAAGCCUGUGCAGGGAACUCCAACAUAUAUGACCAAGUCACCUCAAGAGAUUGUUUCUCAAAGUCCAGAAGGUAUGGAGGCUGGCCCUCCCACCAAAGUUGAGGUUCAAGAUGAGUCUCCAUCAUCGCCCCAUGCAUCAUUACAGACUUUGGAUCAGGAACUUACCCUAUCUUCUCAACCUCAUGGUUGGAUUCCCCACCCUCCAAAUACAGCCGGAAAGAUUUACCUUCAUUAUGCAGAACCUCCCAC